rnacentral:rRNA from 1 species
UGAACGCUGGCGGCGUGCCUAAUACAUGCAAGUCGAGCGAACGGACGAGAAGCUUGCUUCUCUGAUGUUAGCGGCGGACGGGUGAGUAACACGUGGAUAACCUACCUAUAAGACUGGGAUAACUUCGGGAAACCGGAGCUAAUACCGGAUAAUAUUUUGAACCGCAUGGUUCAAAAGUGAAAGACGGUCUUGCUGUCACUUAUAGAUGGAUCCGCGCUGCAUUAGCUAGUUGGUAAGGUAACGGCUUACCAAGGCAACGAUGCAUAGCCGACCUGAGAGGGUGAUCGGCCACACUGAAACUGAGACACGUCCAGACUCCUACGGGAGGCAGCAGUAGGGAAUCUUCCGCAAUGGGCGAAAGCCUGACGGAGCAACGCCGCGUGAGUGAUGAAGGUCUUCGGAUCGUAAAACUCUGUUAUUAGGGAAGAACAUAUGUGUAAGUAACUGUGCACAUCUUGACGGUACCUAAUCAGAAAGCCACGGCUAACUACGUG